rnacentral:rRNA from 1 species
CCUACGGGUGGCAGCAGUCGAGAAUUUUUCUCAAUGGGGGAAACCCUGAAGGAGCGACGCCGCGUGGAGGACGAAGGUCUUCGGAUUGUAAACUCCUGUCAUUCGGGAACAAUUGACCGGGUAGUAACUGACCUGGUUUUGAUAGUACCGGAAGAGGAAGAGACGGCUAACUCUGUGCCAGCAGCCGCGGUAAUACAGAGGUCUCAAGCGUUGUUCGGAUUCAUUGGGCGUAAAGGGUGCGUAGGUGGCGGUGUAAGUCGGAUGUGAAAUCUCGGGGCUCAACCCCGAAACUGCAUUCGAUACUGCAUUGCUCGAGGACUGGAGAGGAGAUCGGAAUUCACGGUGUAGCAGUGAAAUGCGUAGAUAUCGUGAGGAAGACCAGUGGCGAAGGCGGAUCUCUGGACAGUUCCUGACACUGAGGCACGAAGGCCAGGGGAGCAAACGGGAUUAGAUACCCCAGUAGUC